rnacentral:rRNA from 1 species
UACGGAAGGCAGCAGUGGGGAAUAUUGCACAAUGGGCGCAAGCCUGAUGCAGCCAUGCCGCGUGUAUGAAAAAGGCCUUCGGGUUGUAAAGUACUUUCAGUCGUGAGGAAGGUGUUAAGGUUAAUAACCUUAGCAAUUGACGUUAGCGACAGAAGAAGCACCGGCUAACUCCGUGCCAGCAGCCGCGGUAAUACGGAGGGUGCGAGCGUUAAUCGGAAUUACUGGGCGUAAAGGGCACGCAGGCGGUUAAUUAAGUUGGAUGUGAAAUCCCCGGGCUUAACCUGGGAAUGGCAUUCAAGACUGGUUAGCUAGAGCCUUGUAGAGGGGGUAGAAUUCCAUGUGUAGCGGUGAAAUGCGUAGAGAUGUGGAGGAAUACCGGUGGCGAAGGCGGCCCCCUGGCAAAGGACUGACGCUCAUGUGCGAAAGCGUGGGGAGCAAACAGGGAUUAGGAUACC